rnacentral:rRNA from 1 species
UGGGGGAUAUUGCACAAUGGGCGAAAGCCUGAUGCAGCGACGCCGCGUGGGGGAUGAAGGCUUUCGGGUUGUAAACCUCUUUCGCUAUCGAACAAGGCCCGCUUAGGGUGGGUUGAGGGUAGGUGGAGAAGAAGCGCCGGCUAACUACGUGCCAGCAGCCGCGGUAAUACGUAGGGCGCGAGCGUUGUCCGGAAUUAUUGGGCGUAAAGGGCUUGUAGGCGGCUUGUUGCGCCUGCUGUGAAAACGCGGGGCUUAACUUCGCGCGUGCAGUGGGUACGGGCAGGCUUGAGUGUGGUAGGGGUGACUGGAAUUCCAGGUGUAGCGCUGGAAUGCGCAGAUAUCUGGAGGAACACCGAUGGCGAAGGCAGGUCACUGGGCCAUUACUGACGCUGAGGAGCGAAAGCAUGGGUAGCGAACAGG